rnacentral:rRNA from 1 species
GACAGAGGGGGCAAGCGUUGCUCGGAAUUACUGGGCGUAAAGGGCGCGUAGGCGGGAUGGCAAGUCGGUCGUGAAAUCCCUCGGCUCAACCGAGGAACGUCGAUCGAUACUGCUGUUCUUGAGGAUUGCAGAGGAGACUGGAAUUCCCGGUGUAGCGGUGAAAUGUGUAGAGAUCGGGAGGAAUACCGGUGGCGAAGGCGGCAUCCUGGACCGGCAUUGACGCUGAUGAGCGAAAGCUAGGGGAGCAAACGGG